UCAGCCUCAUCCUGUUUAGGUAUGUUCCCCAUCUUGGCCCAAUCGAGUUGUAUCACUUAUUUCUUUCUGUUUUGAAGAUGAAAAUACCUCCAUGCCAGCAGGCCAACACCAAGAUCUCGUGCAGGCAAUGAAGGCUUCUCAGCUGUUGGAGGAAAUCACUAACCCUUGGAGCUUGUGCUCUACAGUGCUUCCUGAGCAGCAUCCUAGGAAUGUAGCUUGGGAGGAGCUGUGCUGAGCAGAAGGAGAGUGAGAGAAACCUGGGCUCCAGUGACUCACGGGGGUCUUGUUUGUCUACUUGCAACUGCAGUAGAAGUUUUACCACAUAGAUUUUAAGGUGGAGAGUCUGGACUGGUGUACACUAUUGGAGAUGUGUUGGUGCCAUAGAUUUACAAAGUGUCAUAAGAACAUUUUUUUGUUUGUUGUUUUCCUCUCCAAGUAGCUUUUAAGUUCAAACAGAGGAGAUUUUUUUGACUGCUACAGAACUUCAAGCUGCUUUUUAUAGAACUGUCUGCCAUCCUUCCAAGGUCUCUUUCCUAAAGGGUAAUGGCUGAGAGUGUAUCUGAAGAACAUGUCAUUAUGCAUGUUAAUUGAGGAGGCUUUUUUCCUUACCUCUGAUUUAUCAACGCUGAAUUCCAUCUGGCAUUUUUUCAUCAGUAUUGUGGAGCUGAUUUAUUGCCUCUGCAUGUCUUCAUAGUGA